CUCCUUGUUUCCUUGUACCAAGAAUAGGCUUGUUGCAGUCUUGCUUUAAGUGUGGUCUACAAUCAACAGCACCACGUCAGACAGAACUAAUCAAGAAUGGAAUGCAUUUCCUGUAUACAUCACACAUUACUGACGGGACAUGUGAAUUAAUCAGUGCCCAUCAUACACAGGCUGUCCUGGACUAAACUUGAAAGGAAAUGUGAACAGAUAUGCAAAAAUAAAAUCAAUUUACAUCUUCCAUCAUCUGUAGUUCUUUUCCUUAAUACAAUUAAAUUACAUAUUUAAAAUAUGGAGGGUUAUUGUGUGAUUUUAUCUUUAAUUAUCAGUAUUUGAUAAAAAUGUUAAUUACUUGUUAUUUAUGAUUAAAGUCCAGAAACUACUUAAAUUCUUCUUAUU
rnacentral:lncRNA from 1 species